UACGGGGGGGGGCAAGCGUUGUUCGGAAUUACUGGGCGUAAAGGGCUCGUAGGUGGCCAACUAAGUCGGACGUGAAAUCCCUCAGCUUAACUGGGGAACUGCGUCCGAUACUGGAUGGCUUGAGUUUGGGAGAGGGAUGCGGAAUUCCAGGUGUAGCGGUGAAAUGCGUAGAUAUCGGGAGGAACACCAGUGGCGAAGGCGAUCUUCUGGACGGAUACUGACGCUGAGGCGCGAAAGCUAGGGGAGCAACAGG
rnacentral:rRNA from 1 species